rnacentral:rRNA from 1 species
UACGGAGGGUGCGAGCGUUGUCCGGAAUCACUGGGCGUAAAGGGCGCGUAGGCGGCCUGAUAAGUAGGGGGUGAAAUCCUGCGGCUUAACCGCAGGGCUGCCUUCUAAACUGUCGGGCUAGAGCACGGUAGAGGCAGAUGGAAUUCCCGGUGUAGCGGUGGAAUGCGUAGAGAUCGGGAAGGACAUCAGUGGCGAAGGCGGUCUGCUGGGCCGUUGCUGACGCUGAGGCGCGACAGCGUGGGGAGCAAACAGG